rnacentral:rRNA from 1 species
AUUGAACGCUGGCGGCAGGCCUAACACAUGCAAGUCGAACGAGUGGCGGACGGGUGAGUAAUGUCUGGGAAACUGCCUGAUGGAGGGGGAUAACUACUGGAAACGGUAGCUAAUACCGCAUACCAUCAGAUGUGCCCAGUUGGGCUUAGCUAGUUGGUAGGGUAACGGCUCACAAAGGCGACGAUCCAUAGCUGGUCUGAGAGGAUGACCGGCAACACUGGAACUAGGACACGGUCCAGACUCCUACGGGAGGCAGCAGUGGGGAAUAUUGCACAAUGGGCGAAAGCCUGAUGCAGCCAUGCCGCGUGUAUGAAGAAGGCCUUCGGGUGGUAAAGUACUGUCAGCGGGGAGGCGUUACCCGCAGAAGAAGCACCGGCUAACUCCGUGCCAGCAGCCGCGGUAAUAC